rnacentral:tRNA from 1 species
GGCGAAGUGUCCGAGUGGUUAUGGAGUGUCGUUCAGGUGCCGGCAUGCUUUGCGCGUGGGUUCGAAUCCCACCUUCGUCA